rfam:Necator americanus N_americanus-1.0_Cont360.35, whole genome shotgun sequence.
CCAACGGCCCUCUUUAGGGCCACAACCUUCCGUUGAGUGCUGUAU